rnacentral:lncRNA from 1 species
AGAAAGGUAGAGUUGGGUUGUCAGUCUACUGGAAGUACAUCACCACAGCAUACGGAGGUGCUCUUGUUCCGUUUAUCUUGCUUGCACAGGUUCUCUUUCAGGUCCUUCAAAUUGGAAGCAAUUACUGGAUGGCUUGGGCAACUCCUGUUUCAGAGGAUGUGAAACCUGCUGUUGAAACCUCUACACUUCUAACUGUUUAUGUUGCUUUGGCCGUUGGAAGUUCUUUUUGUAUCCUCUUCAGAUCCAUGUUUCUUGCAACAGCUGGGUACAGGACAGCCACUCUACUCUUUAGUAAAAUGCAUUCAUGCGUUUUCCGUGCUCCCAUGUCUUUCUUUGAUGCCACUCCAAGUGGACGAAUCCUAAACAGAGUAAGCAAAAUAUAUUUCUAAUAUAGUGCCUUAUUGGGAUAUUCAAAGAGAAUUAGAUGCUUUAAACAGCUACCACUCCCUCUGCUGCUGUACUGAAUGCAGUAAUCUCAUCAAUGUGGCUAAUUGAUUUCUUGCAGGCUUCUACAGACCAAAAUGUAGUGGACUUGAACAUGCCGGGUCAAAUUGGGGCCCUUGCCAACUCAUUGAUCCAGCUUCUGGGAAUUAUUGCAGUGAUCUCGCAAGUUGCUUGGCAGGUUUUCAUCAUUUUUAUCCCUGUGAUUGCAAUCUGUAUCUGGUUACAGGUAACGCUUCUUUGUCCUACUGCUUCUAUCUUAUAUGUUGUAUCAAUACAUGAAUUUCCACAUGAAAUCUAACAUGGAAAUGUUAAUGUCCCUUUAGUGUUAAUUCUUUGUUGAUCAUGCACUGUUGAUGCUCGUUAUUCAUUCCUAUACAUGCUCUACCUUCUAUUUGAUGUGGAACUGAGGAACUUGGCUUCCUUAUUGACACAAAAGUUCACUAAGUUGAUACAUUAACAUUUUCUUCCACCUUUUUCCGCUACAGUUCUUAGAAACUUCUAAAUUGGCACAACAUGGAACAAGAUUGACAAUAUGAAUCCAUAUAACAAACCUAACUCCUAUUACAGCCAGCAAUCUAUAUGAACUAUGUUAAAUGUGAAGAAAGAUGCUCAAAAUUUUUAUAUUCAUGCAGCAAUACUACAUACCUUCAGCACGAGAACUGGCACGGUUGGUUGGGGUAUGCAAAGCUCCAGUGAUACAACACUUUGCUGAAACAAUUUCAGGUUCGACAACUAUUAGGAGCUUCAAUCAAGAAUCAAGAUUUAGGGAUACAAACAUGAAACUGAUGGAUGGUUAUGGUCGGCCUAAUUUUCAUACUGUGGCUGCAAGGGAGUGGCUAUGUUUUCGCUUGGAUAUGUUGUCAUCUAUAACUUUUGGAUUCUGUUUGGUUUUCUUGAUCUCUAUUCCAGCAGGGGUGAUUGAUCCAGGCAAGUGGCAUUCAUUUAGUGUGUUACUAAUUAUUCUUUUGAAAGCAAAUGGUAAAGCAAAUCUAUGAGUUCUCUCUUUUCUUAUUUGUUUUUGGUAUUUUACUCUGAAGGUGUUGCGGGCUUAACUGUCACAUAUGGACUUAAUCUAAACACGUUACUGGCGUGGUUUAUAUGGAAUCUUUGCAAUGUAGAGAACAGAAUUAUAUCAGUGGAGAGAUUACUACAGUACACUACCAUUCCCAGUGAGCCUCCUCUUGUAAUAGAAUCCAAUCAGCCAGAUCGUUCUUGGCCAUUACGUGGAAAAGUUGACAUACAUGAUCUUCAGGUACUUGCUGUUCUGGUUUAUUUAUUUCAUAACAUAUGGGGUCAUUCAUGUGUGACUCGAAUUUCAUGUUCAUAUAGGUCCGUUAUGCCCCACACAUGCCGCUUGUGUUGCGAGGUAUCACAUGUACCUUUCCUGGAGGAAUGAAAACUGGGAUUGUGGGUAGAACUGGCAGUGGCAAAUCGACUCUCAUACAGACCCUUUUCCGAAUUGUGGAUCCUGCUUCUGGCCAGAUUUUGAUAGAUGGUAUUGAUAUAUCUUCAAUUGGACUGCAUGAUCUAAGGUCUAGGCUGAGCAUUAUCCCUCAGGACCCAACCAUGUUUGAAGGGACUGUAAGAAGCAAUCUGGACCCACUUGAAGAGUACACAGAUGAGCAAAUUUGGGAGGUUGGUUGGUUUUACACUGAUGAAAGGAAGCUUCUUCCUACUAAAUGUUCUUCAUUAAUAGAUUUGCAGUGGUAAAUUCGUGGGACUAGUUAAAACAUCUUUUGAUUUUUUCAGGCCCUGGAUAAGUGUCAACUUGGAGAUGAAGUUAGGAGAAAGGACGGAAAGCUGGAUGCCACAGGUUUGUUCUAUGGCUACUCUAAGAUACAGGCUAUAUAUGAUGCACUAGAUUCCAUUUUACGUCAUGGAAAUUCUUUUGUUUAUGUUUCAUAUGGUUGCUGCAGUUAGUGAGAAUGGAGAGAACUGGAGUAUGGGUCAGAGGCAGUUGGUCUGCCUUGGCCGUGUGCUGCUCAAGAAAAGUAAGGUCUUGGUGCUUGACGAAGCUACCGCGUCGGUCGAUACAGCUACAGAUAAUCUCAUCCAGCAGACCCUUCGCCAACACUUUACUGACUGUACAGUCAUCACUAUUGCACAUCGUAUAACUUCUGUUCUUGAUAGUGACAUGGUUCUGCUUCUGAGUCAUGGUUAGUAUUGCCAUAUGAAUGCAUUCAACUUCCUCUAGCUACCACUGAACCUCACCUUUUUAUUCAUUUUUAAUUGUAUCUUUGUUCUUGUUGUAGGUCUUAUUGACGAAUAUGAUUCUCCUGCAACCUUGCUCGAGAACAAGUCGUCAUCUUUUGCUCAGCUUGUGGCAGAGUACACAAUGAGGUCGAAUUCCAGUUUUGAGUAGUUCGACUGACAAUUGAAAUUCCAAAUCUUCAUUAUGAACUACUCAACUUGGUAGCUGUUUUCAUAAUGACGAAACAUAAGCGGUGAGGUCCAAAGCAAUAGAACUGGGUGAUCAAGUUAAAGUUUGCAGUGUAUUUUAGGCUAUAUUCUGCUGCAAAUAUUGUAUGGUUAAGUACUUUCAAGUAAUUUUGAUACUGAGAGCUCAAUAUAGGUGUGAAAUUUUGUGGUCGAAUAAAGUAAUUGUAAGUUGAUUGAACUCCUAUGCAAAACAUCCUCUCAUUGAAUAGAUAAAUGGCUCUGUAAUUGGAAAAUUUUGUAAGUAAAUUCAUCGGUCCCUCUACUUGUCCAAGACAAUGCGUCGUAGACUAUAUUAGAAGUAGAUAUUCCAGAACCGUAUCCCAAAAGACUUUGGUUAGACAAACCCACUAGUUAGCUACACUAAAGAAGGGGAUGACACUGUAGGAAACCCACCAAAGAUUUUAGUUUGAAUAAUUUUCCUACUGAAUGAUGAUUCUCCCUUUGAAAAUCACAAUUCCUCCACUAGAUGAGGAGAAGUUCACAAUUCUUUGGGUUAACGGGUGGACCAUGUCAUGAAUCCAUCCACACAAAAAUAAGGAGAUUCCUUAAUUUCACCCAAAUUCUCGGAAUUCCUUUAUUUUGAUGUGCAAAUGAGUGACGUGGUCCACUCGAUGAAACAAAAAAUUUCUCACAAAAGAUACCUCGACUAGAGGUUCGAUAUUAGUUUAUCACCUAUUGAAAAGGUAACAACUUGCACCCGAAAUCGCACUUUGCUACAAUAGGAACUAUAACCAUCAAAUAACACAUAUAUACAACUAAUGAAAUUACCUACAUCAUAGGAAAAGAUACACAUAUUGCUAUUGCACACAAAAAAUACCUCGACUAGAGGUUUGAUAUUAGUUUAUCACCUAUUGAGAAGGUAACAACUUGCACCCGAAAUCGCACCUUUCUUAUAAGUAUGCAAAAAUAAUUAACCACCUCCAAAAGCACCUUCGGUGAAGGUAAGUUAUAUUUGGUAAGUUAUAUAUAUCUGUAUUAUAGGGUACUAAAACAGUUUAUUAUCUACCCUAAAGGCAAAAAUUUGCACCCUAUAUUCACCUUCCCUCUAGUAUACAACAUAUAUACUUGGCAAAGUGUAUACCUGCCCUAUAGGUUAAUAUAUAAUGGUUGAUUGCCUACUCAAAAGUCCUUCCCUGUCUUUUUCUUGUUCAUUUUCUCACCAUUAAUAAUUCGCCAUAUUGCAUGCAAUUAUAUGCAAAGAGCAACAACAUCUAUUUAUACUUGCAAGAAAACGAUCAAGGGCAUGAUAGUAACAUAGCUCUCACAACAUCAACCCAUCUUGCUCAUCCUGACCAAGCAACCAAAAACAUAAUAUCAAUUAAAAGACAGAUAAGAAAGAACUAGGAAGAAACAGAAAUGGAUUCAUCACAUAUAUGGUGCUUCGAAGUCGAUUCAAUAAUUCUCAUACAUGAGAAAGCUCGUUCCGUUGUUGCUGUACAUAAAAAUCAAGGAAAACAAGGCCGAAAAUUAUUGAUUUCUAUCAAUUAGGAAAUAAGAAAAACAAAAUGCCUAGUUCUUUGCAACUGAAUACUCAAGCCAAGAGAAUUGGCCAAACCACUUUUUAUUAAAUCAAUGUAAGAUUUUCCCUUCUAAGUGGCUUGGAUAAUGUUCUAACUCAGGUUGACAUGGCCCUAAAAGAAUAUAUGUUAUUCGCACAUUAUAUUGUUCCUUUACCUAAUAUUUGCAUAUUAGAUGACGUACUCCUGGAUCACCGUUCAAGAUAGUUGAUAUUUGUAUUAGAUGAUGAUCCAUCAUUCUUUUUCUUAAAAAAAAGACAACAAGAUCUUAAUUUUCUUUGGUUUCCGAUUGUGAUUCGACAUAAUAAAAGAUAACCUAUAAAAUAAAUAAUAGGUAAAAAUGAUUUUAAUCAAACAUUUCAACAAAAAUACCAACACACAAAUCAAACAUCUCAACAAUACCAACAACAAAUUAAUGCAUUUAAUCAAACAUACCAACACACAAAUCAAACAUCUCAACAAUACCAACAACAAAUUAAACAUCUCAAGAAAAUUCCUAAAAUCAAAGCCCUAAUUAAUUUCAACAAAAUCUCAAAAUUAUAAGUCAUUCCUAAUUAAACCCUAGAACAUUUUCUAUUCAAAUUAAAGAUGCAUAAAAUAAUUAAAAAGGAGAGAAUGAGAAGAAUACUUGUUGUUGCAAAGAAGAGAAGUUGUUGGCUACAAAGAAGUUGAGCGGAGUUGUUGGCAGUGGCUGCAGAGAAGUUGCUUAUAUCUGUUUUGCAGAGGAGGAGAAGAAUUGCACAGGAGGAUGGGAUGGUAUGUUGGAUAGGUUUGUAUAGGUUUAAUUUAAGUGGGCUAGACAUAUGUAGUGUAGGUUAUAUUUUUUUUAACAAAAAUUUGUGGUGGGUUGUGAAGGAGCAGAGGGAGAGCUAUUUGCUCCACCGUUAGAGAUAGAGUGAGAAAAUUGGAGUUCAGUAAUUGGGUGUGAGGCUUUGGUACUACAAACAACUUCUCUUCGCAUGAUUGGACAAAACCCCGCAUAUGAGAGACUCAAAGAGAGAAGCCUUCUGUGCAUGGAAGUUCAUAUUUUCCAGCGAAAAAAAAAAAUUUCCAUGUGAAAAAUCUCAUAGGUUAGGGUGAGAUUUGAGAUAGAGUUUGGUAUUUAUACCUCCCACUAAAAAGUCCCACACAAUUCCACAUUUUAAAAAAUCUUUCGAAAUUAGCAAGUUUUUCAAUACCAUAAGACUUUUUGUUACUUGUUUAAAGUCUUGAUUGAAUACCAUGUGAUUUCGACAUCCUCUUUUAAAAAUCCUAAUAGUCUUAAUGGAAUACCACAAGACUUGUUUAGAUUAUUUAAAAGUCUUAAUUGAAUACCAAAUGACUUUUUUCUCCCAAAAUACUCUUUUAAAAUCUCAAUUGAAUACACUCCCUAAUGGACAAACUAAAAAAGAAACAAGCAAUCAGUUAUAUCAAUGCCAAAUGAUAUAAAUAGCUUCUCUCGUCCGUUGUAUUUGCCUUUUCUAUUCAAUGCCAAACGUUGUAAAUGGCUAAAUCAUUAAUACCCGAUUUAUGUCAUAAGGGCAUCAUUGGAACAAAAAUAAUUUUAAAAAUAAAAAAAUGAAAAGAUUACAUCCGAAUAUAUUUAAAAAUGAAUAUAAUCUUAUGUAGUGCAAAAGUCAAAGGACUUAAAUUAAAGUCAUCAAAUCUGAAGAUUAAACCUAACUCCUCAAUAAAAAUUUGCAUCUAUAUCAACUUUUUCUAUUCUAAUUUUCAUAUUAUAAUUAAAAGGAACUAUUUUUGGCUCUUAAAAAAAUCAUAAUGUAUUUUUCCCUUAUAUAAUUACAAAUGAUGAGUGCAAGAUGACAUUUUUGAUUGUUACUAAUGUUGAAGAAUAUGAGUCCCACAUCGAAAACUUGACUAAAUAAAAUACAAAAUAUAAUAAAUAGUUCUACUACUAAUAACACUGAGGCCUUUGUGAUAAAACCCCACACCUACUGGGCUUUGUAGGUGGUUAAGUUGGGGACACUAUCGGUGUUGCUAGUAGUGGGCCGCUGGCCUGUCUCUUUGAAAUUUAACAUGGUGUCAGAGUGGGUGGAUUGAUUGGGCCUGAAUUACUGGCCUUUACCCUUACUCUUUACCCAACAUGUGGUGUUCACAUGUUGGACUUGAAUGUUUACCCUUAUCCAAUACGUGGUGCUCACGUGUUGUGUGAUGGUCCCAUGUGAGGGGGAGUAUUGAAGAAUAUGAGUCACACAUCGGAAACUUGACUAAAUAAAAUACAAAAUAUAAUAAAUAGUUCUACUACUAAUAACACCGAGACCUUUUGUGAUAAAACCUCACACUUACUGAACUCUGUAGGUAGUUAAAUUAGGGACAAUAUCGGUGUUUCUAGUAGUGAGCCGCUGACCCAUCUAUCUGAAAUUUAAAAACUAAUAGCUCCCGUUGACAAAAACUUAUUUAUCAAUUUUCUUAUUUGAUCAAUAUCUCAUUCAGCUUACCUUAACAUUUUUGUUAAUUUUGAUCACAUGCCAUCUACCCCUUUAAUUACAGUCCCGAGUGCCGACCAUGGCUAUCCAUUCCUGCCAUGCCCAAACCUUUAUUCCCCAAGUUACUUUGGCAUCGCAUAUAAAAUGAUUGUUUUGUGAUUACAUUUCUGCCAUGCCCAAACAAUUUUACAUAAUAAUUUUCCUAAAAAGGAAAUAUAUAGAAUAAUAUUAAUUUUGUUUAAACAUGUGUUGGGAUACUGGAUUGGCGGUCUAUCCCUCUCUACUGUAGGUAUAAUGGAUUGGAAUUUGGAAUUUGGAAUCUCGGAGUGUACCACUUCACAUACUAGUCAAAACAUAUGUUGGGAUAUAAAAGAUGACAGUGAACUCUUUGAAUUUCGAAGUUCGGGGGGAGGGUGUUAUGUUGACUUGUUGCCUACGAAUAAAACACAGGCUUUUAGUUUUCUUAUUUUCUUAUUUUACUCUAGUAAGUCCAACAUAUGAUUUAACACAAGAAGAUUCAAAAUUGUCAAUUAUCUUGCUGUGCACACAAAACCACAUUCAUUGUUGAACCUGAUUCUCCUAAUUAAUUAAGGAGAUUUACUUCCUUGAUUAAUUAAGGGAUUUACUUUCUUCACUACUACAAAAAGUGAAAAAGACGACCAGAAAACAACGACGGUCUAAGUGAAAACCGUCGUGGUUUUUAAAAAGACGACGGUUCUAAAAACACCGUCGUGUAAUACAACCUUAGACAACUAAAACAUGGAGAUUCAAAUGGCUGUUCAAAAACAACGACGUACAUAAUUAAACAACCGACGUCUAUUUGAAACAGAUUUCCGCAGUGUAAAAUCAAUGCCAACAAAGAACGGCAGAAGUUAUGAAUCGACCGACGUAGAAAGUAAAGACGACGAUUUCAAUAAAAAUCGCCGUUUUUACUCAUAAAAUAACACGACGAGGUUUUCGUAUAAGACGCCGUAUAAUUACAAACAAAUCCACGGCUUUAAAAUACAAAAUAUCGCCGUAUUAAAUUAAUGUACAACGACGGAAAAUAUAAACAUAUCGACGUCAUUUGCGUAUAGUUCUACGACGUUAUCUUUAAAUCGUACAAUAAAAUUUAACGUCGUAUUUAUUCAUUUUAUACGUCGUACCUUUAAUUUUAACCGUCGUCUUAAUAAGAAUUUUUGUUAACAAUUUUUUUCUUUGAUUUUCUUAUCCUACGUCAGUAGAUCUACUUAAUGACAAGAAUUGAAAUAACCACGACGGUUUAUAUAGAAAACCGCCGACAUAAUCAGAUUUGUCUGAGAUCCCAAGGGUUACGAAAUCUUACCAGAUGGAACUCUGUUCCACAUCAUAAUCUUAACAGAUGACACAGAUUUGCAAUCAGAGAGACAAUUUUUUGGAAGUUGAUGAUGUGUGUGCGUUUGUGUAUCUACAAAUAUUAUACCUAACGUCGUUGCAAAUUUGCAAUCAGAGAGACAAUUUUCAACGACGGUUAUAUUAUACCUAACGACGUUUAAAAAACAAAUCAACGUCGCUAAACAAAUAUAUUACGUCGUCUUAGUCUUACUUAAGACGACGAAAAACGACGACAGUAAUAAAAAAACAGUAGUUGUUUUUAUAUUCUUAUUUUAUUUAAAUCUGUCCUCCAAAAAAGAAACUUUACAUAUUCCAGAACAUUAAUUUCCUACAUUUUAAAUUUCCUCCGGAAAAAAAAAACUCUAUUUAUAACGCACUGUAAUUGAAAAAUAAACUGAAAGGUCACGGGAAAAAAAAUUCUACCAUGACGCGACAAAUUUAUAGAAUAAAUUUUUAAAACCAACGGCGGUCCUUACAAAAACACCACCGUUUAAAUUGUAAAAUCAACGUCGGUAUGAUCGACGUAUAUUAUAGAAAUCCACGUCGGUACAUUAAUAAAAACGACGUGUUAAAUAAUCUACCAUGACGCGAGUUAUUACUUAUGUACUUUAAUUUUUGAGUUUACUACGACGGUACCUACAACACUACUGUCGUAUUUAUUUACCACGUCCGAAGUUAAAUGUACCGUCGUAUUUUGUAAUUUAUACGUCGUAGUUAUAUGUAACCGCCGUAUUAUUUUUUUGAAAUGGUUUUAUAUGUAAUCAACUUUUCGUCUACCUGACAUACACAUGCGCUGUUUCCAAACCCGAUUAAAAAGUUCAAUCUCCCAGAGAAAACUUUUAGACUUUUUUCCUUGUCAGAGCACUGUCAGAGUAUCUCAUCGUCUUCCUCUCGUCUUCUUCGUCGUCUCUGAACUUAAACAUAAUCUUCCUCUUGCUUUCAUUGCACGCAAAAGGUAAGCUUUCAUUUUCACUAUUUUGGUUGCUGUUUUGCAUGCUCAUACGUUUUUUGUUUGAAAAUUUUUUUUACCUUUUUUCUGGCCAAAAUCAUUUUACUUCUUUCCAAGUUCGAUAAAAUAUACAGACAAAGAGGGAAAGUUUCCAACUUUGAAGACAACUACCUCAACUAAAUAAGACGACGGUAGCUUCUUAUGUACGUGGUUAAAUAUGUAGACCACGACGGUUCGUCAGUCGUUCUAGCGUCGUCUGAAAAUUGACAAAGUUGUUUUUAAAAUUAUAGUCUUUUUUUUAUUUGCUUGUUUAAUUGCAGGUUUGAUUUCUCUGAACAAUGGUUUUUGUUUUUCCCUAAUUUGAUAAAAUAUAAAGAAAAAGAAAGUAGGGUUGGUAUCUAAUAUAGACGACAGUAUCUUAUUGUUUUACGUCGUGUGAAUGUUAAUACCACGACGUCAUAUUGAAAUACCGUCGUCUAUAUAAGAUUCCAAACCUUUCUUUCUUGGCCUUGUAUUUUAUCAAAUUAGAAAACAAAAACCAUGGUUCAGAAAAAUCAAAUCUGCAAUCAAACAUUCACAGAGAAAGAAAGAAGGGUUUUGGAUCCUUAUAUAGACGAAGGUAUAUUACGACUGACGUCGUGUGAACAUCAAUACCACGACGUUAUAUUAAUAUUUCGUCGUUUAUAGUUAAUUAUCACGUCGUUUAUAGUUAAUUAUUUCGUCGUUGUUUAAUUACCUUGGUUUUAAACAUUUAUUACGUCUGAGAUUAUUUCAUUGCGUCGUUUAAAAUCAUAUCAUACGUUGUAUUUUAUUAAUAACUGUCGUUUGUGUUCUUAAUCUUUUCCUGAAAUAUUUUCACUUGCAGUUUUGUCUGUAAAAAUGGUUUCUCACCAAGACCAAAGUAAGGAUUCUGGCUCCAAGAAAAAUGGAGGUAAGGACCUUGGAAUGGUACCUCCUCAAGUGAAGCCUUCGAAGAAGAUGAAGUUUGCUUCAUCAUCUGCUGAGACAGAACGAACCAGCACGACAACAAUCUCUGAUGAUUCAAAGUCUGGUCGAGGUAUGAGCACAAUGCCUCGUGUUGUGAAGAGAAAACUUCAGAAACUGAGGCCAAUUGUUGAGUACAAUAAAAUGGGGAAAGGAAUUGGCCAAGCACAUAGUGAGAUGCAGUCCUACAUUGGUGUGUUGGCAUGCUCCAGAGUUCCACUUGUGGACAUGAAAUGGGCUCAAAUUCCCAAGGAUAUAAAGGAGCAGAUUUGGGAAGCAGUUGACAUUGCUUUUGUCGUAGGUCAAGGGGGCAAGAGCUCUGUGUUAGCUUCUGCUGCCAAGAAAUGGAAGGAUUUCAAGUCUACACUAACGAGGCAAUAUAUCCUUCCAUACACCAAUGACAGAGAGAGAUUAAGCCAACCCCCUGAAACAUAUAAAUUCAUAGAGAAAGCACAAUGGGAUGCCUUUGUAGCUUCAAGGUUAUCCAAAGAUUUUGAGUCUGUGCAUUCUCAACAUGCACAGAUUAGGGAGAAACUUGAGUACAAUCAUCGAUUGUCUCGAAAAGGAUAUGCUGGUUUGGAGGAUCAAUUGGAGGAAACCAUGCUUGGGGUAGAAAUUGAUCGAUCUACCUUAUGGAAGAGAGCUAGACAGGACAAACAUGGUAACAUCUCGGAUCCAAAGGUGGCAGAGAAAGCAAAAUUAAUUGUAAGCCUACUCACUCUAUUUUAAAUUUUUAUUAAACUGUGAAUAAUUCUUAUUACGUCUUAUGUUAUAUUUUGCGUCGUGUGAAUGAUAUUACCACGUCGUUAAAGGUCUAAAUCAGGAAUCACUACUCUGUUUUCUGUAAUUAUAGCAUAAGAUGUCGGUGGUUCAUUUUCGCGUCGUUUGUAUUGAAUUAUUACGUCGAAAUGUUUUAAACAAGGUCGUUAAAGGUGUGAAUAUUGAAUCAUCCCUCUGUUAUCUGUAAAUAAAGCAUAAGACGUCGGUGGUUUAUUCAUUUCGUCGUUUUAAAAACUAACCACGUCGGUUUAAAAACUACCAUCGUGAUAAAUUAUAAUAACGUCGAUUUAUAUGUUAUUGCGUCGUGUGAAAUUAUAUAAUACGUUGUUUGUAUAUAAAUAACCGUCGUGUGUUUUUGUUCUUACUUUUUUAUAUAUCUUUGUUUUAGGAUGAAUUGCAAAAACAAGUCUCGGAAGGCAAAGUCACUGUUUCUGGCAGCAAUGAUGUGCUGACCAUGGCUUUGGGCCCCGAGCAUCCAGGCAGAGUGAGAGGAGUAGGUGCUAGGAUCUCACCAAGGCAAUAUUUCAAUUUACCCAAACCACAGAGAGUGAGCUUUGAUGACCGUUUGAAGGACAGUUUAAGAGUUCUCCUUCAAGAAGAGACUAAAAAGAUGGAAGCUAAGGCAAGGGAAGAGGCUUUAAGGAUGGAGGCUAGAACGAAACAAUUGGUAGAGGCUGAGAGGGAGCAUUUCCUGAGUCAGCUUUCCCAAUUAAUUCCCAAUUUUGAUCCAAGCAUGCUUAAACCCAUAAUUAGCCAAAGUCCCAAAAAUCCAAUGUCUGACAAAGCAAGCUGCUCUGGAGGUGAUGUGAGAUCCCAGCAUUUUGAGGAUGAUACUGCCAAAAAUAGGAAACAUCAGGAAGAAAAGGUAACAUAUCUGAACUUUGAAUUCUCUGUUUUUUUAAAAACCAUUAGACAUCGUUAUUAUUAAUAAAACCGUCGUUUGAAAUACAUACCACGACGAUUUUAAACAUAAACCGUCAUUUGUAUUUCAAUACCACGUCGUAUUUAGUUUACUUGUUUUACACGCCAUUAAACGUCGUUAUUUUAAAACUUUGUGGUUUUUAGACGACGGAGUUAGUCAUUCCCGACGUAAUAGAUGAAGGGAAGACAGAAGAAAAACAUGAUGAAAAGGAGAAAGAAGAUGACGACCAGGUAUGUUCACAUAACUUUGCCUUUUUUAUUUGUUUUUCAAAAUUCCAGACGUCGAUAUUUUUCUUUAAACCGUCGUUUGUUUACAACUUAGACGGCGGAAUUUUUUUUAAGACGUAAUAAAUUAUUCACCACGACGGUUUCUUCAGACGACGUUUAAAUUCUUUUCAGACGACGUUUUAUUCCUUAAACCGUCGUUUUUAUUGAAUUACCACGUCAUUUUUUUUAUUUCUUUAAACAGGUUAUUAAAGUUGUUGAUUAUUCAAAUAUGGAGGCGCCAUCUUCUUUAAACUCCCUUUGUUGUUAUGUGGAAACGACACUCGUGCCUCAGGAUAAGACCCUGCACUUUACAAUUGAUAAGGAGGCGUUUGGUCUAGAGCGCGAUACCUUCCUCCUGCCUGAAGAUAUUACACAAUUUGCUGUAUAUAUGAGGUUUGUCAUUCUAAAAUAAUACGUCGUUGGUGUAUUUAUUGCGUCGUCUUAACCAACUAACCACGUCGUUAGUAUAUCAUAACGUCGUUGUCUAUUUCAGUACGUCGUGUGAAAUUUUAUAAUACGUCGUUUUGUUAUACAUAACCGUCGUGUUUUUUUGUAUAUAUGAGGUUUGUCAUUCUAAAAUAAUACGUCAUUGGUUUAUUUAUUGCGUCGUCUUAACUAACUAACCACGUCGUUAGUAUUUACCGUCGUGAUAAAUAUAUUAUAACGUCGUUGUCUAUUUCAGUACGUCGUGUGAAAUUUUAUAAUACGUCGUUUUGUUAUACAUAACCGUCGUGUGUUUUUUUGUGCUGACUUGUUUAUAUUAUUUUAUAUAUUUAGGCACUUGCACGAUGUUUUGAAACGAGCAAAUAUGUGCAAUAUGGUUGGCUUUAUCGACCCUGCUACAGUUAGUGCCAGCUCUGGCACAAUAGCUGACAGAUCACGCCUACUAGCAUCUCGACUUCAGAAGACUGACGGUGAACAGAUUUUCCUGAUGCCUUACAAUCCAGGGUUAGUCUCCUUAACAGGAUUUUGUUUUUAUGAUUUUCAAUAAAUUACAGCGUAUAAACUAACCACGUCGAUGUUUUAUUGUAUUGAGUCGUUUGAAACUACUAAUCACGUCGGUAGUUAUUUAUCGUCGUGAUAAAUGUAAAAUGUCGUCGAUUGCUACUUUAUUUCGUCGUGUGAAAUAUUAUAAUACGUCGUUAUUGUAAAUAACCGUCGUUUUUAUAUUAAUUUUGUGCAGCCGUCAUUGGAUCUUGCUGAUUGUAAGAGCAAAGAGAGAAACCGUCUAUUUUCUGGAUCCUCUGCCAAGAAAUCGUGUGGUCGAUGAAGAGGCCAAAAACAUUGUGAACAGUGCUAUAAAAAUUUAUAAUUCUCACAUAGCCAGACCAGGCCGUAAGGCAGUCAUUUGGAAAACUCUGUCAGGCACACCAAAGCAACCCAGCAAUGUCGAAUGCGGGUAUUAUGUGAUGCGCUUCAUGAGGGACAUCAUCAUGGAUCCUUCCUUGGGGUUUGAGAAGAAGGUACGAAGAAAUUACCUUCAUACAUUUUACGUCGUUUUUUGUAUUAUCAACGACGGUCAUGUAAAAUUACCGUCGUUGAAAAGAUAUAGUACGUCGGUUAUGAAAAAUAUCGUCGUCUGUGAUUGAAUUUCUUUUUAUUUAUAAACCCUAAUAGUCAUUGUUUAUGCAGUAUGCCAAGGGAAAACAGGAAGCGCCAUACCCCCAAGAAGCAAUUGAUGAAGUCCGGAAUGAAUGGUCAGAGUUUGUUUGCCUUCACCUGGAAUAGGGGAAUUAUUGAACACUUGAUAUUUAUGUAUAAUGUACAAAUUUUGUCUAUAAUAUAUAAUGUAAAAAUUUGUUGAGGUUUUCUUAAAUUAAAAAAAAAAAAAACAUACAAAUUGCGUAACCGACGUGUAAUACUUUUCCAACGACGUAAUAAGGUCAAAAGCCGUCGUUUUUUGUUGUUUCGUUUUAACCAAAUCCGACGUAAAAGGAUAUUUAGACGACGUUCUUUGAACAAUUGAGUCGUUUAUGGUUUACAACGUCUUCAAUUUCUUAAGGGUUCAGGGUAGUACUUUGUAACGACAGCGGUUAAGUCGUGGAAUAUAUAUUUUACGUCGGAUAGUUAAAUAUCCGCCAUGGUUUCUCAUUUAAACGACGUCAUUUUAACAACUUAAUCGUCUAUUACAAUUUACAACGUCUAAAAUUUAUUAACACCGACGUGGUUUGUUGUUGUGAUAAGAAUAUUUUAUUAUUUUUAUAUCAAAAUAUUCAAAAUAAAUUUAAAAUAAAUCAGAAAAAUGCAAAGUCAACUCCUAUGAAGUCAUUGAUAUAUUUUCUUCCCCCUAAACCUUGAAAAAAUUCAUUUUGAAUAACAAAAAUUUAAAAUGACCAUCCAAAACAAAAUUGUUUUGAUGAGUCAUAAAAUCACUUCUAGUUUUAUGGUUUAGGGUUUAGAGUCUAAGGUUUAGAGAUUAGGGUUGUUAUUUAUUGGGGUUUAUUUUUAAAGUAUAAUUUUUGGGUAGUAUAGGGUAUAUAUUAGGCUGUAAAACCAUAAACCCUUUUAUAAACUUAAUUUUUAAAAUUAUAUAAUUUAGUUUUAAGGGUUUAGGGUAUUAAUUGUUAACGACGGUGGUUGAGUCGUGGAAUACAUAUGUUACGUCGUGCAGUAAAAUAUCCGACAUGGUUUUCACUUUAAACGACGUCAUUUUAAUAUGUAAGUCGUCUAUUAUAAUUUACAACGUUUUCAAUUUCUUAACUGCGACGUGGUUUUUCAGUCGUCUUUAUAUCAAAAUAUUCAAAAUAAAUUUAAAAUUAAUCCAAAAAAUGAACGUCAAAAUAAACGGCGUUACGUUCAGUGUUUUCGUGGUGGAAUAUUACAUUUACGUCGGUUCUUGUAGAACUUUCGCCAUGGUUUUUCUUUCGACGUUUUAAAGAGCGCGCGCUCUAAAAAUUUUCGCGCGCCCUAAAUUUUUUUAUAUUUGGCUCUUAUUCUUAUACUUCUAACCCUGAACCCUAAAAUUUUUAGAUUUCGCGCAACAUAACAUUCGCUCUCUCACUUCUGCUCUAAUUAAAAGUUGCACUCUCCAGGCUCCGUCGAAUCUGUGAGCUCGUCCAACCUGUAAGUACAAACCCUAUCUUCCCCUCGUAAAUUCAUUGAAUGAUAUUAGGUUGUUUUGUUAAAGGGUUUUAGGUAUAUGCUUUGCGAUCUGUUAAUAAUGUGCUUAUAGGUAUGGGUUCAUGGAUUUUCUGUUUAAUGGGUUCAUGGAUUUUCUGUUUAAUGGGUUCAUGGAUUACAUUAUCUGUUAUGUUGAAUUGGGAAUGGUUUUAAUUUUGUCGGAUCUUUUAAUCACCCUAUGUUAUGUUGAAUUGGGAAUGGAUUUAUUGUUUUCAUGCUUGGUUUCAUGUAUAUGUUGGUUUCUUGCUUGGUUUCAUAUAUAUGUUGUGUUCUUAAUGGGUUUUGGGUUUUUGAAAAUAAACUGAGACACGACGCCUUUUUAGGCAUACGACGACGAUUACACGACGAUUUAUGAAAAAACCGUCGUUGUAUUAUUAUACACGACGGUUUUUUCAUAAACCGUCGUUUGUAUUACUUAUAUUAGACGACGUCUGUUGAAAAUCCGUCGUCUAUAUAUGCCAAAUACGUCUGUUUUUGUUUAAAACCCGUCGUCUCUGUUGUGUAUUACUUGCUAUUAGAUCUUUGUAUAAUCUGCUAUAGUGAUGGUCAUUGCCUGUAUUUUCACUUUAUUAUAGAUAAUAGGUUAUAGUGUCGGAGAUGAAUAAGUCAUGGAUGCACUCGGAUAGAAGAUCGAAGGCAUAUGAGUUUGGGGUGGAAGCAUUUUUGAAGUUUGCUGUAGAAAAUCUUCUAACUACAACACAUAUCCGUUGUCCAUGUGUUAAAUGUGUUAAUUUGAAGUUGUUUGGGGUUGGAAUUAUAAGGGAUCACUUAUACUUUAAUGGAAUUGACCAAAGCUAUAAGAAUUGGACAUUUCACGGAGAACCUUGGGAAGCAACUACUAAUGCUAGUAGAAAUGUUGAAGAAGAUGAUGGCCAUAGUAGGUACAGUUUUGUGUCUGAAGAAAUUGAUAUGGAUGAUAAUGAUUUUGGUGAUUUUGGUUCCGAUCCGUAUGAGUUUGCCAAUGUGAUUGGGGAUGGAGAUCAACCAGUGUACCCUGGUUGUAGAAAGUACACGAAAUUAUCGGCAUUAGUGAAGUUGUAUAAUUUGAAGGCAAAACAUGGGAUGAGUGAUGUCUGUUUUACAGAAUUAUUGAUACUUCAAGGCGAUUUGCUUCCAGAAGGAAAUACAAUACCAACCUCUAUGUACGAGGCUAAAAAGACUUUGUGUGCAUUGGGGCUGAGUUAUGAGAAAAUGCACGCAUGCCCCAAUGAUUGCAUCUUGUAUAGGAAGGAGUAUGAGGAUUCAACUAAUUGUCCUACUUGUGGUAUCUCAAGGUGGAAGGAAGGCAAAGAUUCAAUCUUGAAAGAGGGUGUGCCAGCGAAGGUGGUGUGGUAUUUUCCUCCAAUUCCAAGGUUUAAAAGGAUGUUUCGAUCACAUGAGACAGCUAAGAGUUUGACUUGGCAUGCUGCUAGAAAAUCAAUUGACGGUCAGAUGUCUCAUCCGGCGGAUUCCCCGUCUUGGAAACUUCUUGAUGAUAAAUGGCCUGAGUUUGGUAAUGAGCCGAGAAACUUGAGAUUGGCUCUUUCAUCUGAUGGAUUCAAUCCCCACAGUUAUCUAAGUGGCAGAUAUAGUUGUUGGCCGGUUAUCUUAGUUACAUAUAAUCUCCCUCCAUGGCUGUGCAUGAAACGAAAGUUCAUGAUGUUAACCUUAUUGAUUUUCGGUCCUAAACAACCCGAAAAUGAUAUAGACGUCUACUUGGAGCCUUUGAUUGAUGAUUUAAAAUCUUUGUGGGAUGGGAUUAGAGGAGUGUAUGAUGCACAUAAUGGAGAAUACUUUACACUCAGAGCUGCAUUAAUGUGGACAAUUAAUGAUUUCCCCGCCUAUGAAAACUUAUCUGGUUGUGUUGUUAAAGGAUAUAAAGCUUGUCCAAUAUGCGGCAAUGAUACACCUAGUCACAGGUUGAAAAAUGGCCACAAAAUUUGUUACAUUGGGCAUAAAAAAUGGUUACCAAUCAAUCAUCCAUAUAAGAGGCAACGUGCAGCUUUUAAUGGGAAACCUGAAUAUGGCAUACCUCCCGAGCCAUUAACCGGAGAAGAAGUGCUGCAUAUGGUUGAAAAUGGUGACAGAGUUUGUUGGAAGAAGAAAUCAAUAUUCUUUGAUCUCGAGUAUUGGAAAUACCUUCCUGUGAGGCAUGCCCUAGAUGUUAUGCACAUUAAGAAGAAUGUUUGCGAUAGUAUUAUUGGUACAUUGCUGGAGAUCCCUGGAAAAAAUAAAGAUGGGAUUGCUGCUCGAUUAGAUUUAUUGAACAUGGGGGUCAAAACUGAUUUGCAACCCGAGUAUGGAGAAAGACGUACUCAUUUGCCUCCUGGGCCUUGCAAUUUGUCAAGAGCAGAGAAGAGAGAGGUUUGCAAUUCUUUCUAUGGUAUGAAGGUCCCUGAAGGUUAUUCUUCAAAUAUUAAAAAUCUUGUAUCUUUACAAGAUUCAAGACUUCUUGGCCUUAAAUCACAUGAUUGUCAUACCUUAAUGCAACAAUUGCUCCUUGUGGCAAUUCGUUCUGUUUUGGAGAAGCCUGCAAGGUAUGCAAUAACUCGUUUGUGCUUCUUCUUCAAUGCUAUAUGUGCAAAGACUGUUGAUGUUUCCAAGCUAGAUAAGUUGGAAGAAGAUGUAGUAGUUACUCUGUGUUUGCUUGAGAAGUACUUUCCCCCUUCAUUCUUUGAUAUUAUGGUUCAUCUAGUAGUACAUCUUGUCAGAGAAGUUCGUCUAUGUGGGCCAGUAUAUUUUAGGUGGAUGUAUCCGUUUGAAAGAUAUAUGAAAGUGCUGAAGGGGUAUGUUCAGAAUCGUACUCGUCCCGAAGGUUGCAUUGCUGAGCGGUAUAUAGCUGAAGAAGCGGUAGAGUUUUGUACUCAGCAUUUAUCUGAUGUUAGUACAGUUGGAAUGCCUUCAAGCCAAAAGAUGGGACUUUCAAAGCCAUUAUCAGGUUGCACAGUGAGCGUAGUUGAUCAAGACCUGUUGAAUCAAGCACAUCUAUAUGUCUUGGAGAAUACGGAGGAAGUCCUACCUUAUAUCGAGUACGUAUGAGUUUUAUUCUUUAACUUAUUGAUUUUAAAUUAUUUCUUAUGUUUAUCUUCUAUAUUUGGGACCGUAAUGCUUGAAUUUUUCGUGUCAUGUAGGCAACAUAUGAUCCACAUCAAGACUGCUUAUCCAAAAUUUAGAAAGAGAACAAAGUGGCUGCAGGAUAAGCACAAUAGCACUUUCAUUCAAUGGCUACGCUUCAAGGUAUAUGUUGUUGAAUAACAUAUUUCUCUUUUAAUUUUCUUCUUAUUUCUAUGUUAGAUUGAAUUAAGAUAUAUGAUUAAUUUGCAGGUUCAAAGUGAACUUGAGGAAGACAAUCAUGGCGUAUCAGAAAAUUUAAGGUGGCUAGCAGCUGGUCCAAACAUGGCAGUGCCAUUAUAUAGGAGCUAUCUUAUUAAAGGUAUUAAAUUCAAUAUCAAGGCACAAGAUGAUGUGCGGACAACUCAAAAUAGUGGAGUUUAUUUACUUGCACAUACCAUGCAAGUUGCUAGUGCCAAGGAUAAAAACCCAAUUCUCUCAAAUAUGGGUUUCUAUGGUGUCAUUCAAGAAAUUUGGGACCUUGACUACCAAAAGUUUACAAUCCCAGUCUUUAGGUGUGAUUGGAUAGAUAGUUCUGGUCUUGUAGUCGACGAACUUGGAUUUACCCUUGUAGAUUUGAGUAAAAUUGGACAUAGGAAUGACCAAUUUGUUUUGGCUUCUCAAGUCAAACAAAUAUUUUUUGUUGACGACCCGAUGCAUCGUGGUUGGUCGGUAGUGUUAUCAAUGCCUAAUAGAGAAUAUAAUGAUGUUAUUGGUGAUGAAGUCUUAGGUGAUGUGAUAAUUGAGUGUGAGCCAUUUACUAGAGGGAUGCCAAAUGUUGACACAUUUGAUGAACUGGUGGGUGAGUUAGGCGGUCAAAAUAUUCAAGAUGGGUGUGAAGAUAUAUGGAUUGAAUGAUGCUUAUGUAAUUGGCAGUGUAUGACAUUAAUUUUGUAAUAUAUUGUAAUGUGAUUUCUUCACUUUCUACGUUCAAAUAAAACACGACGUUAUUGUGAACCAGUUAUUCAGCAUAUUUACCGACGUCUUAAAGCAACGUAACAAUGAAGAACCACGACGCUAUUGUGAAGCAAUUAUUCAGGAUAUCACGUCGGGGAAGGAUUAAGAACCACCAUGUAAUUCAAAAUAACACGACUCCAAUCCCAUAAUACCGACGUCUAAAAAACGAGAUAUAUAAUCUGAACGUUAAAAAAUACGACGUCAUCAUACAUUUUCCACGUCGCAAGUUCUUUUAUAAACGAAGAGGAACAAAAUGAAUUCCGACGGUAAUUCAUUAUAACCGCCGUCUAAUAUCAAUUAAACGACGUUAUUUGUAAUACGGGCUCUCAUCAUAAUCAACGCCGUCUAUAUAUUCUGUAAUACGGCUCUCAUUUAUUUGGAACCGACGUUGUUUAGAAGUUCAACGUCGUCUAUAUUAAUAAGUGCGUCGUGAGUAAUGAAUACAUAUAAAUACAACGUCGACUAUAUAAAUGCCAACGACGUUGUUUUGCAUUUCAACGUCAACUAUAUAAAUACAUACGUCAUAAAUAAUGACACUGACAACUAUUUCCACGUCAUCUUUUUUAGAAAAAUCGAAGUGGAAAAUUUAUUUCACGACGGUUGUUUGUAAAUAAGAGACGUAGUAUAUUUCAAUAACGUCGUCUUCUCAUGUAUUUAAAGACGUCAUAUUUUUUCUUGUCAUGAAAAUUAUAUUUGACGGCGUAGUGUCUUAGUUGUCGUCGUUGUAUGCCUAUCUUGCGGCCUUGUUCUUUUAAUAUGUGUCAUAUUUUUCCUUUUUAACGACGGUGAUUUGUUUGAGUUGGUCGUCUAUUCUCAUCCUCGAUAAUUUUUUAGAACUUUAGCAGACUAAACACGUCUGUUUUUAUUUUUUUUUCGACGUUGUUUUAUUUAACAACGUCUAAUAUUUAUCGUCGUUGUUUGUUUCUGAAAAUAGGACGUAUAAAUUUUGUAAUACGACUCUCAUAUAUUUGUAACCGACGUUGUUUCGUUGUUCAACGUCUACUCUAUAAAUACAUACGUCGUAAAUAAUGACACUGACAACUAUUUCCACGUCAUCUUUUAUAGAAAAAUCGAAGUGGAAAAUUUAUUUUACGACGGUUCUUUUUAUAUAGGCGACGUAGUAGGUAUCAAUAAUGUCGUCUUCUAAUAUAUUUAAAGACGACAUAUUUUUUAUUGUCGUGAAAAUGAUAUUUAACGGCGUCUUAUUUUAAUUUUCGUCGUUGUAUGUCUAUCUUGCGGCCAUGUUCUGUUAAUAUGUGUCAUAUUUUUCCUUUUUAACGACGGUUUUUUUAGAGAGUUGGUCGUCUAUUCUCAUCCUCGACUGCUUUUUUAGAUCUUUUUGCAGUACAAAGACGUCGUUUUGUAUUUGUUGAUGACGUUGUAUAUUGUAACAACGACGGUGAUUUAGCGUCGUGGUUUAUGAGGGAAAAGAUGACGGUGGAUUCCACGACCAUUGAAAAACCAAAUACACGACGGUGAUUUACCGUCGUCUUUUUGCUUUUUUGUAGUAGUGCUUAUUUUUAUCUAGUUGAUAAAUCAUUAUAUAAUUAGGAGAUACUUUCCUAAUUCUUUACUGUAUCUAAUUCCUUGUAUAGUACAUGUAAACUCUUAUGUAUACCUCCUUAUGGAGAAGAAUAAAAAUAACCUAAUACAUUCAAACCAUAUUCAUAUUUAAGCAUGAUAUCAGAGCAAUCGAUCAUCGGUUGUCUCUAAAUUCUCAUAUUAAAUUUUCUUCAAACACAAACCCUAAAUCAUCAUAUCAAAUUUCUUCAAACACAAACCUUAAAUCCCCAUAUCAAAUUUCUUCAAACACAAACCUUAAAUCCCCAUAUCAAAUUUCUUCACACCCAAACCCUAAAGCAAAUUCCUCAUAUUUACAAUUUCAAAUUCAAAUCUUCAUACCCAAAUCCUCAUAUCCUCUUAUCACAAAACCCUAAACACAAAUUCUUUCUUUUUUUUUUGUUCUCUUAUUCUUAAAUCCUUCCGCUGUCAUGAAUAUCGUUUCAUCUUCCCAAACUGCUGCCUUCACUUCCUCAUCCUCAAAAAUUGUCACAACAGGUUCCCACGGUUAUGUUUUGCAUAGUUCUUUAAAGAAACACAUCUGGGUCAUUGACAUCGGAGCCACUGAUCACAUGACCUUUGAUCCUGGACAACUUACCUCUCAUACACCGUCUUCUCAAUCGGUGGUAUUUAAUACCAAUGGUACCCCUUCCCCAGUAAUUGGGGAGGGUUCACUCUCUCUCUCUCUCUGACUCUCACUUUGGAUUAUGUGUUGAUUGUUCCAUUCUUACAUCAUAAUCUUUUGUCUGUUGCCCAAAUUACUACGACUUUGAAUUGCACCUUUUGGCUUACUCAUUAUGUUUUUCAGGACAUCCUCAGCAGCAAGACGAUUGGUUGUGGUACUAAGAGGGGCAAACUCUACUAUCUGGACUUGGCCUCUGACAGUGAAGCUAGCCUCAAUCAAGCUUACAAAAUUGGGGGUACGAGUGUUGAGAAGCAAACUUCCGAAGUAUGGUUAUGGCAUCGACGUCUUGGACAUGCGUCGUUUGGAUAUUUACAGAAGCUAUUUCCUUCUUUAUUUUCCCAGUUAGAUAUCUUCAGUUUUACGUGUGACAUCUGUGAACUAGCCAAGAGCCAUCGUGUUCCUUUUCCCUUAAGUUCCCUUUUCUCUUGUUCAUUCUGAUGUUUGGGGCCCGGCUAAAAUUACCACUCUUGGGGGCGCUAGAUGGUUUGUCACGUUUAUCGAUGAUUGCACACGUAUGACCUUGGUUUCUCUUCUCCAAACAAAAGCGGAAUCAAUUCCAAAUUUCAACAAUUCUAUCAAAUGGUCGAGACACAAUUUCAUACUAGAAUUCAGGUUCUUUGGUCUGACAAUGGCGGAGAAUUUCUCAACCAUGAUCUUAAUCAGUUCUUACAAGAUCAUGGCAUCAUACAUCAACGCUCAUGCCCUUACACUCCCCAACAUAAUGGUGUGGCUGAACGAAAGAAUAGACACUUAUUGGAAGUGGUUCGUGCCUCUCUCUUUGGUGCCAAUAUGCCUCUGUCCUUUUGGGGAGAAGCCGUCCUCUCUAUAGCAUACCUUAUCAAUCGGAUUCCUUCCAGUAUCCUCAAUUUCCAAACCCCCCCCCCCCCCUUCAAACACUCUACCACUAUCUCCAAAUACCUCAUACUAAAAAUCUGGAACCCCGUAUCUUUGGCUGUGUGGUCUUCGUCCACUUACAUAAUCACCAACGCAGCUAAUUGGAUCCCCGCGCCAAAAAAUGUGUUUUCAUCGGUUAUGCACCUCAUCAGAAAGGGUACUGAUGUUAUCGUCCUCCGAGUCAGAAAGUCUAUACUUCUAUGGAUGUUGUGUUAUGGGAAUCCGACAUAUUUUUCAGCCGUCCAGGAGGAGGAUCAAAAUGCCAAAACUUCUCCAAUUUCUGAAUUUUUUCCUACAAAAACGUCCCAGACUGAAAACGACCGAUGGCCCAGCGAGAAUUCUACUCUAUGCAAAAGCGACCAGUCGCAAGUGGAAAGCGACCUGUCGCCCCUCGAAAAUUCGACUCUGUGCAAAAACGACCGGUCGCCAGAGGACAGAGAUCGAUCGUCUCCUUGCUGUCAAACUCAGGAGGAGAUCAUCAUUGAGGAGUUUUUGCCCACACAGGAGAAUUCUUCAGCUCCAGUACCACACCAAUCACCUGCUGAGGACAUCAUUCAGGUAACAUCUUCUCCUGAAACUGAUAACAUUAAUGAAAUUUCUCAUGAUGAUUUAAUUUCAGAAGGCACAGAGCCUGCAUAUCAGCUUCCAAAAUGAAUGAACCGUGGAAAACCUCCAGUUCACUACAAAGCAGAUCUUAAUGCAAAAGGGAAAUAUCUCAUCAACAAUUAUGUAUCCAUCAGCAGACUAUUAGAGUCACGAGUACACUUUGUGAAGCAGUUGGCCAACAUACCCAUUUCCAAUAGUGUAACUGAAGUACUAGAAGACUCAAAAUGGAAAGAAGCCAUGAAUGAAGAAAUGCGAGCUCUCCAAAAGAAUGGCACAUGGGAACUCAUGCCAUUACCUCAUGGAAAGAAGACAGUGGGAUGUAGGUGGAUUUAUACUGUGAAACUCAAAGCAAAUAGAUCCUUUGAAAGAUAUAAAGCUAGAUUGGUGGCGAAAGGGUACACGCAAGGAUAUGGAAUAGACUACUAAGAGACCUUUGCCCCAGUAGCCAAGAUUAAAACUAUCAGAGCCCUUCUGUCUCUAGCCGCAAAUCUCGAUUGGCUAUUACAUCAGUUUCAUGUCAAAAAUGCUUCUUACAUGGAGACUUGGAAGAAGAAGUAUAUAUGGACUUGUCACCAGGAUGUAACUUAGCUCGUGACAAGGAGGAUCAAGUUUGCAAGCUCAGAAAGUCAUUGUAUGGGUUAAAGCAAUCUCCUAGGGCAUGGUUUGACAGAUUCAAUAAAUCCAUAAAUGUAACACCCCGACUCCAAAUUUAACCCAUUAUUUAAAUUAUUUAAGUGAAAUUACAAAUUUACCCUUGAGGUAUGGAUAAUUUGGUCAUUUUCUUAUCCAAAAGGAGUUUGGGGCAAUGACUAGUAUUUUUGGGAAGGUCGUACUGAGAUGAGUCCGUAGACACACGGUGGGCUCGAAUCGGAGUUAUAAUGAGAGAGAUAUGGUCAAAAGAAACUCAGUGGCACAAUCGUAAUUAUUUCAAAAUGGGAUUUUUUAUAAAAAUCAGAUUUCUCUCUCUCUCUCUCUCUCUCCUCUCUCUAGCGCGUGCAUCGGCAGUCGGCCACAUUUUGGCUAGCCGUUCCCUCAUCCGGCCACCGAUGACGACGGGGCCGGUACCAAAAUGACCAGGGCGUCGUCCUCUUCCAACCCCAGCCAGGUCCCGCCACCAACCUCCGUGGUUUCACUGAAAAAUGGAGAAGAAGCGGCCGGUGUCGUCCGAACUUCUCCGUCGUCGAUCUCUCUCCUCCGGCCACCGAUUCCGACGAGUGAGGUAUGGUUUCUCACCUACUAUUCAUGCUCUAGCUGCCUGUUGGGUAGGAUUCGAUCGAUUCUUAGCGUAGGUAAUUCGAUUUACGAAUUGAAAUUUGGCCGAUUUUGGGAUCGCGAUUUCGGCCACUUCCGGUCAGUUUUUGGGUAGGUCCAAGAACAAAAGUGGCUCCAAAUACGGUGUUAUACCUAGGGUAGGAGUUUAGAGCCGUGAUUUUGAGAUUUUCCGGCGAUGCGUAAUCGCUUUGGACACUCAGCGUUGCCGGCGCGUGGGCGAGGGUAGUGAAGUUGCAAUUUAAUAUAUGUUAAUCUAGGUAUUUCUAAGAUCGUGUAGGAAUUCAUGGAUUGUGAAUCGGAACCCUGCAUGUUUCGAUUAAAUAAUUUAAAAUUUAUGUUUUAUAUUAACCGUCAGAUCGUGCGAUCGUGAGCGAUCUGACCGUCCAAUCUAGACUAAACUUGCAGGACGAGUGUCAUAUACCUUGUAGAACCCAUAGGAACCUUCGGAUUGGAAUUUGGAGGUCGUGGGCCCGUUUGACCAAGUGUGGGUAGUUUGACCCUUGGUUGACCUUGAGUCUUUCGAGGUAGUUUUACCUUCCUAGAAGGAUCAUAAUGACCCUGAUAACAGGUCUUGAGCGUUGUUGAGCUAUGUUGACUAAGUUGGGAUUUUUAGAGUGUUUAUUUGUAUUAUAGGAAACUUUUAGAUACUAUUUUAAAUAAUGAUUAAUCGUAUGGGGAGAUUAUGUGAUAAUAUGGUGAGGUCGCACGUGGCAUAGGUUAUCCGGCGUGUUGACAGGCCUCAUACAUGAUGUUGGUAGUACCGUCGUAUAGGGAGAUUAUGUGAUAAUAUAGUGAGGUCCCACGUAGCGUAGGUUAUCCGGCGUGUUGACAGACCCCACACAUGGUGUUGGUAGUACCGGCGUAUGGGGAGAUAAUGUGAAAUACAGAGAUAUGAAUAAAGGUAUUGCCUAUGUGUGGAAUUGGGCUUUAGGAAAGAACUACGUGUGGCUUGAUCUCUCAGUGAGGGUGCGUAGGCAGCCCAAGGUUAUUAGGUGCAGCCGCGGACAUAGAUGUGAUUGUGUUAGGAGAUUAAAACCUCGUAUAUUUGGAUUGGAAAAGUUAAAAGAUGCAUGCUGAAAUUUAGUAGUCAUAAUUCAUAUUUCAAUUUAUCGUUUGCCUUGUUUAAGGCAUGAAUUGAUUUGUUAGCAUGCUUGGUAGUUGAGAAUUAUUGGAAGGCCGAAGGCCGUUUAUGUGAAUUGCAUGAAAUUAUAUUGUGCAUGCUGCCAGUUGUGGAUAUUAAAUGUGUUUUUAUGCAUGUUGCAAUUUUGGGCAAUGUUCAAUUUACAGGGGAGACUGCCAAAAUUUCGGCAGAAAGUCUCGUACCCUUAUUCUAUUUUGGGAAAAAUGGGUAUAGUUCUAGAAGUGGGCCCAACAUCGGGGUGAUGUUGGAAAUUUCCACAGGAUUCGUCUCGGAUUUCGGGAAAUUCGGGGCGGGUCCUGUUAAUAAAGAAUUUUAGAUAUAUACAGAGUAAUGCAUAUCACACUUUGUUCUUGAAGCGUGAUGGAAGAAGACUUACUGCAUUGAUUGUUUAUGUGGAUGACAUAGUCGUAACUGGAAAUGACACAGGAGAAAAACUGAAAUUGCAGAAGUAUUUGUCUCAGGAAUUUGAGAUGAAAGAUUUAGGUGAUCUGAAGUACUUUCUAGGAAUUGAAGUAGUCAGGUCCACAAUUGGUAUAUUUCUGUCUCAAAUGAAGUAUGUAUUAGAUAUGCUCACUGAAACAGGAAUGCUUGGAUGCAAACCUGUUGAUACACCCAUUGAGAUGAAUCACAAGUUAUGUGAAGACAUAGAUCAAGAACCAACCAAUAAGGAACAGUACCAACGCCUUGUUGGAAGGUUGAUAUAUUUAGCUCACACAAGACCAGAUAUUGCAUAUGCUGUGAGUGUGGUUAGUCAGUUUAUGCAUUCACCCAGUGUUUCUCAUAGGAAUGCAGUUGAUCGAAUCUUAAGAUACUUAAAGUCAGCACUUGAGAAAGGGUUAAUGUUCUCCAAAAAUAGAGAUCUCGAAGUUGGAUAUACAGAUGCUGAUUGAGCUGGCUCCGUUACUAACAGACGCUCUACUUCAGGUUACUUCACUUUUGUGGGAGGUAACCUAGUCACUUGGCGAAGUAAGAAACAAAAUGUAGUUUCUUUAUCUAGUGCUGAAGCAGAGUAUCAAGGAAUGACUCAAGGAAUUUGUGAAUUACUAUGGAUAAGAAGACUAUUGACAGAAUUGGGGUUCAAGCCAGAAAAGCCAAUGAAGUUACAUUGUGAUAACAAGUCAGCCAUCGAUAUUGCCCAUAAUCCAGUUCAACAUGAUCAAACUAAACAUGUUGAGGUGGAUAGACAUUUUAUCAAACAAAAACUUGAGAAGAAGAUUAUCCGUCUACCAUUCGUAAAAUCAAAAGAUUAGUUGGCAGAUAUCUUAACCAAAGCUGUUUGUGGAAGAGUAUUUUAUGACUCACUUACCAAGUUGGACAUUGGUGACAUAUAUGCACCAACUUGAGGAGGAGUGUUGACGUGAGUCUCCUAAUUAAUCAAGGAGAUUUACUUCAUUGAUUAAUUAAAGGAUUUACUUUCCUAUUUUUAUAUAGUUGAUAAAUCAUUGUAUAAUUAGGAGAUACUCUCCUAAUUUUUUACUGUAUCUAAUUCCUUGUAUAGCACAUGUAAACUCUUAUAUAUACCUCCUUAUGGAGAAGAAUAAAAAUAACUUAAUACAUUCAAACCAUAUUCACAUUUAAGCAUUCACCACAUCACUUCAUGGUGGGUCUUACUCUUAAUUUACCCAGAAGCUGCUCAUCUAGUUUAGAAGAAUCAAAUUAUGGGUUGAGAAAGGAAUGGAGGAUAUGCUGACCUUGAGAGGAAAUGCGGUGGUGGGACCAGGGCUUGCCGAGGUUGGAGUCACGUGUUAGGACAUAAUCCCAUUUGGGUCUAAUACUCUUUCCAGCCCACUUACUAUCACCUUAGCAUUGCCUUAGUAUCAUCACCUAGCUAUUCCCACACAGAAUAACAACUUUGUCCUUUCCCUAUUUGCAGGAAGAUUUGUUAAAACAUUUGCUACAGUAGAUCGUAGUGAAUUUCAUUAAUAAACAUAAAAAGAGACAUAUAGUUGGGGGGGAGGGGGUGUAGGUGUGCGUAAUGAGCAUUACCCUCAAAUGUGUAUAUAUAUAUAUAUAUCUCUCUACAAAUACAAAAACUAAAAUAAAAACCAAAAGUAAAUGCAACCCAAUGCGAUACAAAACAAAACUAUUUAAAUAUAAAAUUUAGCCCUACGAGGCUUAGGAUUCUUAAAUUCCUAAAUUAUUGAUGCAUGGUCGAUAGUAUUGGCAAACCCUCUUUCAAUGUGGAGGAUCAUACAAUGAGCAAGAAAUUCAUCACAUACGGUGUUUCAAAGUUGAUUCAAUAAUUCUCAUACAUGAGAAAGCUCGUUCCGUUGUUGCUGUAUAUAGGAACCAAGGAAAACAAUGCCGAAAAUUAUUGAUUUCUAUCAAUUAGGAAAUAAGAAAAACAAAAUGCCUAGUUCUUUGCAACUGAAUACUCAAGCCAAGAGAAUUGGCCAAACCACUUUUUAUUAAAUCAACGUAAGAUUAUUCCUUCUAAGUGGCUUGGAUAAUGUUCUAACUCAGGUUGACAUGGCCCUAAAAGAAUAUAUGCUCUUCGCACAUUAUAUUGUUCUUUCACCAAAUAUUUGCAUAUUAGAUGACGUACUCUUGGAUCAUCGUUCAAAAUAGUUGAUAUUUGUAUUAAUGAUUAACCAUCAUUCUUUUUCUUAAAAAAAAGACAACAAGGUAUGCCUGGCCCACUUAAAUUAAACCUAUACAAAUCUAUCAAACAUACCAUCCCAUCCUCCUGUGUAGUUCUUCUCCUCCUCUGCAAAACAGACAUAAUUGCCAGCAAAUCCGCUCAACUUCUUUGCAGCCAACAACUUCUCUUCUUUGCAACAACAAGUAUUCUUCUCAUUCUCUCCUUUUUAAUUAUUUUAUGCAUCUUUAAUUUGAAUAGAAAAUGUUCUAGGGUUUAAUUAGGAAUGACUUAUAAUUUGGAGAUUUUGUUGAAAUUAAUUAGGCCUUUGAUUUUAGGAAUUUUGUUGAGAUGUUUGAUUUGUUGUUGGUAUUGUUGAGAUGUUUGAUUUGUGUGUUGGUAUGUUUGAUUAAAUGCAUUAAUUUGUUGUUGGUAUUGUUGAGAUGUUUGAUUUGUGUGUUGGUAUUUUUGUUGAAAUGUUUGAUUAAAAUUAUUUCUACAUAUUAUUUAUUUUAUAGGUUAUCUUUUAUUAUGUCGGAUCACAAUCAGAACCCCAAUUAGGUUAUAAUUUUUUUAACAAAAAUUUGUGGUGGGUUGUGAAUGACCAGAGGGAGAGCUAUUUGCUCCACCAUUAGAGAUAGAGUGAGAAAAUUGGAGUUCAGCAAUUGGGUGUGAGGCUUUGGUACUACAAACAACUUCUCUUCGCAUGAUUGGACAAAACCCCGCAUGUUAAAACGAUAAUUUAUUAAAAGUGAGUGACAACAAUAAUAAUUCAUCCGGCAGGUGUUUAAAAGGAAUAAAAGUCCUUUUAAUGCAAUGGUUGUACUUAGAGUGUUUGUAUCAAACACUAAGACCAAGGAGUGAUAGUUCACUCAAUCUCAAAUUCCUCAAAACUCAUGGCCUAUAAAAGAGUCAUGCCUGUGAUUAAAAAAGGGGGAAGGAGCAGAAAAGAGAAUAACUGCAGGAAGAAAAGAAAGACAACAAACAUACUAGAGAAAUCAAAAGUCAUCUCAAGGUAAAAUCUUAGUUCUAUGGCACAGUUUUCUUGUUUGCUCAGGACUCCAGGUUUUCAUCAACCCAAGCGUCCCUGGCUAUGAUGAUUUCUAUCAUCAUAAAAAUAGUCAGAGAUCUCUCUAAGACUUGGCUCCGCUCAAAUAUUUCCAGUGAUGUUUUCAAACAACCAGUCCACAAUCAACAGGAGAAAUUGUCUUCUAUGAUGAUUUCAAUCGUCAUAUAUUCUAUUCCAACAAGCAACUCUGAUCAAAUGCUUUCAAGGAUGUGUCCAACCUCCAAUUCAACAGCAAUUCGUGUGGAUUGAUUGUCAUGGUGGGCAAACCACCAAAAAAAUCAAAACUGGUGCACAACUCUCUUGAAAAGGCGUAAAGGAAAUCCUAGAGUUCUCUAGGUUCUUCUUACUGUUGCACCAUAAUAGCCAAAAUCGUUCAAUGAUGUUCGUCAUGAGAUGGACAGCCAAAAAAAUAUAUAUGAAACGAAAGAAUCAAAGGUAGGUAAUUCAUGUAAUUAUCGAGAAGAAGUUCCAAGCUUUCCCACGACAAGAAGACAAUUUGGUUUGUGUUUGAUUAAAGCUCACUACCUGGAGAUCAACGAUAUGCAAAUUAAAAAGGGAAGAAAGGUUUUGCUCUGAAAAAAGCACCAACCCAAGUUUUUGGGGGAUGUUUUGCUCUGUUGAAGAUAAAAUAACAAUUAAAGUAAAGGAAAAAAUUAUUGGAUGUCUUGAUUGAAUACCACGUGAUUUCGACAUCCUCUUUUAAAAAUCCUAAUAGUCUUAAUGGAACACCACAAGACUUGUUUAGAUUAUUUAAAAGUCUUAAUUGAAUACCAAAAUACUUUUUUAUCCCAAAAUAAUUUUUUUAAAUCUCAAUUGAAUACACCCUAAUGGACAAACUAAAAAAGAAAUAAGCAAUCAAUUAUGUCAAUGCCAAACGAUAAAAAUAGCUUACCUCGUCUGCCGUAUUUGCCUUUUCUAUUCAAUAACAAAGGUUGUAAACACUUCACAUACUUCUAGUCAAAACUGUUGGCGUGACUUGUGGAUAUUGACUUACUUUCCUUACACACUAAGAAUUCCUAUUAUAAUUGUAAUUGAUUUACUUUAAUUCCUGAUUUCCUACUGCAAAUAGAUUUAGGAAUUUAUUAUUUACUUGCCCAUUCAGGUUUCGUUGUAUUAUAAAUAUGACCUCCUACAAGGAGAAGAAUACACAGAAAAUUCCCACAAACAAAUAUUCUCUCAUAGUUUUCAUAUUUUAGCAUGGUAUCAGAGCGGCGAUCUUGGAAUUGCUGACUCUAGUUUCAAACCCAGAAGUUCUUGUCGAAUGUUUUGUCCAGUAGUGGGGAGGGUGUUAUGCGGUCUUGUUGCCUACCAAUAACACGCAGGCUUCUAGUUUUCUUAUUUUCUUAUUUUACUUUAGUAAGUCCAACAUAUGAAGAUCCAAAAAUGUCAAUUAUCUUGCUGUGCACACAAAACCAUAGAUUAUUCUUGUAAAAAAUUAGACAAAUUGAAAACCUUUUAGACAUUUAAUUGUGUCCUAUAAAAUCAAUGAAUACGGUGUUUCAAGAAAGUUUUAAAAUUUCAAUAAUUUAAUUGAGUGGUCAAAUGAUAUCGAAUUUAAGUGAUUUUUUGUAAAAUUAAUCUUCGAAUGAAUAUUUAAAAAAUAAAUUAUUUGCAUAGAUGAAAUACAAUAUGGUGGGCUCUACAAUACAGAUUAUAAUGGAUUGGUCAAUCCCUCUCUAUCAUCAGUUCACAUAUUUCCUGGAACCAACCAUUUUCUGUGUCACUAUGCAGCCAUCUAUAGCUAUCUCCGUCAUGUGAGUCUUGGGCACCACGUUAGCCUACGUUCCAGGAAAAAUCCACAUUGACAUUUGACUCUCCAUUCUUUGACUACACUCCCUGAGUCGUCCACAAACUAAUCUCUCUCUCUCUCUCCCUCCACUAUAUAACGUACAAAAUCCUGCAUUUCAAUACAAAACUCAGACCAUUCCAACAAAAACCCCAUUUACCAGAAUUUCUGAGAGCCCCAACAAAAAGCUUCACAAAUUAUGGAGCUUUUUGAUUCUUCAAAGCACGGUACUCUCUCAGCCUUCUUCUCACACUACUCAUCAUCAUUCAUUACGUAUCCAGGUACCGAUUUUCUUCUCAAACCGGUUUUCAUACGUGGGUUUUCUGGCUCAUUACACCUAGUUUUGUUAUUUGUGUUGCUCGUCUCUUGGGUGUGGAAGAAAUUCAAGGUGGGUGAUGGAGAAGGUCCAAAACAGAGGUUUGGGAGUAUUCAAAGUUGGUAUUAUAAGCUAACUUUACUCUGUUGUCUUGGUGUUUCUGGGCUCAGUCUUGUUUUUUGUUUAUUGAACUACUUCUAUUGGCAUAGAAACGAUUGGACUGAGGAAAAGCUAGUGACCCUUUUUGAUUUAGCCAUUAGAACACUUGCUUGGGGUGCUCUUUGUGUCUACUUGCAUACCCAGUUCUCUAAUUCUUCUGAAUCAAAGUUUCCAAAUUUAUUGAGAGUUUGGUGGGGUUCCUACUUUUCUAUCUCUUGCUAUUCCCUUGUGAUAGAUAUUCUUCUGUACAAGGAACACGUUUCCUUGCCCGUUCAAUCUUUUGUUUUUGAUGUUGUCUGCGUCAUCUCGGGUUUGUUCUUUAUAUUUGUGGGGUUUUUUGGGAAGAAAGAGGGCAGAAAUACCGUUCUUGAGGAACCCCUUUUGAAUGGUAAUGGUAAUGCAGUGUCAAAUAAUUCCAAAGGGGGUACACCUGUUACCCCUUAUUCAAAUGCUGGAAUUUUCAGCAUCCUUACUUUUUCUUGGAUGGGUCCUCUAAUUGCGGUUGGCAAUAAGAAGACAUUAGACCUUGAGGAUGUUCCUGAACUAUACAAGGGUGAUAUGUAGCUGGGUCCUUUCCAAUUUUUAGAAAUAAANNNNNNNNNNNNNNNNNNNNNNNNNNNNNNNNNNNNNNNNNNNNNNNNNNNNNNNNNNNNNNNNNNNNNNNNNNNNNNNNNNNNNNNNNNNNNNNNNNNNNNNNNNNNNNNNNNNNNNNNNNNNNNNNNNNNNNNNNNNNNNNNNNNNNNNNNNNNNNNNNNNNNNNNNNNNNNNNNNNNNNNNNNNNNNNNNNNNNNNNNNNNNNNNNNNNNNCAUUUAUGAUUGCGAAGCUGGUGGAGUGCCUCUGUCAAAGGCACUGGUUCUUUAAGGUACAACAGGUAGGAGUAAGAAUCCGAGCGGUACUUGUUACAGCGAUCUAUAAUAAGGGUUUGACCCUGUCAUGCCAGUCCAAGCAGGGCCACACUAGCGGAGAGAUUAUCAAUUUUAUGACUGUUGAUGCUGAGAGGGUUGGUGACUUCUCUUGGUACAUGUAUGAUCCAUUGAUGGUCAUUCUACAAGUUGGCUUGGCCCUAGUGAUUUUGUACAUAAAUCUUGGUCUUGCAGCCAUUGCAACUUUAGUUGCAACAAUAAUUGUUAUGUUGGCAAAUGUUCCAUUGGGGUCCUUGCAGGAGAAGUUUCAGGAAAAGUUAAUGGAGUCGAAAGAUAAAAGGAUGAAGGCAACAUCUGAGGUCUUGAGGAACAUGAGGAUUCUCAAGCUUCAAGCAUGGGAGAUGAAGUUUUUGUCUAAAAUUAAUGAGCUCAGGAAGACUGAGGCGGGAUGGUUACGAAAGUUUGUUUACACGUCUGCCAUGACCUCAUUUGUUUUCUGGGGUGCCCCCACAUUUGUGUCAGUGGUCACGUUCGUUGCUUGCAUGCUUUUGGGGAUCCCACUUGAGUCGGGGAAGAUCUUAUCUGCACUUGCAACAUUCAGGAUUCUUCAAGAGCCUAUCUACGGUCUUCCAGACUUAAUUUCAAUGAUAGCACAAACUAAGGUAUCCCUUGAUAGAAUUGCAUCAUUCCUUAGUCUUGAUGACUUGCCUCCUGACGUUAUAGAGAACCUUCCAAGAGGUAGUUCUGAUACAGCAAUUGAGAUAGUCGAUGGGAAUUUCUCUUGGGAUUUAUCAUCCCCUAGUCCAACAUUGAAGGAUCUAAAUUUCAAAGUGAGCCAAGGUAUGAGGGUUGCUGUUUGUGGUACUGUUGGCUCAGGCAAGUCUAGCUUACUUUCUUGUAUUCUGGGAGAAGUUCCGAAGAUAUCGGGGACUCUUAAAAUGUGUGGGACAAAGGCCUAUGUUUCUCAGUCACCGUGGAUACAGAGUGGCAAGAUAGAGGAAAACAUAUUGUUUGGUCAAGAGAUGGACAGAGAAAGAUAUGAGAGGGUGCUUGAAGCAUGUUCAUUAAAGAAGGACCUGGAAAUUCUAUCGUUUGGUGAUCAGACAAUUAUAGGGGAGAGGGGAAUCAAUUUAAGUGGUGGACAGAAGCAAAGAAUACAAAUUGCACGUGCUCUGUAUCAAGACGCUGAUAUUUAUCUGUUUGAUGAUCCUUUUAGCGCUGUUGAUGCUCAUACAGGAUCACACCUUUUUAAGGUAUUUCAUUUCCCUCUUGUAGUGUGAUUACAUCUAGUUUAAAUUGAGUAUCCAAACUUAUUUACAUCAUAGAAUUACUGGCAUCCGUAAAAUUGACAGUUCAUUAUUAAUUUGUUUGCUUGAUAAUUGCACUACAGGAAUGCUUGCUGGGUCUCUUGGGUUCAAAAACAGUAAUCUUUGUUACUCAUCAAGUGGAGUUCUUACCUGCUGCUGACCUCAUCUUGGUAAAAAAUCCAGAGCUUUUCUUAGAAUUUUAAUCUAUAAGAUAUGUUAUUAUCUAGUUAGUAUCUGUCUGCUUAAACUUAUUUGUUUGUCAUUAGGUCAUGAAAGACGGAAGGAUUACUCAAGCAGGAAAGUUCAAUGACAUUCUUAAUUCAGAAACUGAUUUUAUGGAACUUGUGGGAGCACACGCGGAAGCUUUGUCCGUGCUUAAUUCUGCAGAGGUGGAGCCAGUAGAAAAAAUAAGCGUUAGCAAAGAAGAUGGAGAAUUUGCUAGUACUAGUGGGGUUGUCCAAAACGUAGAAGACACUGAUGUUCAAAAUUCUAAAACAGAUGAUUUACCAAAAGGGCAGCUUGUUCAAGAAGAAGAGAGAGAGAAAGGUAGAGUUGGGUUGUCAGUCUACUGGAAGUACAUCACCACAGCAUACGGAGGUGCUCUUGUUCCGUUUAUCUUGCUUGCACAGGUUCUCUUUCAGGUCCUUCAAAUUGGAAGCAAUUACUGGAUGGCUUGGGCAACUCCUGUUUCAGAGGAUGUGAAACCUGCUGUUGAAACCUCUACACUUCUAACUGUUUAUGUUGCUUUGGCCGUUGGAAGUUCUUUUUGUAUCCUCUUCAGAUCCAUGUUUCUUGCAACAGCUGGGUACAGGACAGCGACUCUACUUUUUAGUAAAAUGCAUUCAUGCGUUUUCCGUGCUCCCAU